GCCUGGCUGGCUCAGUCAGUAGAGCUCAUGACUCUUGAUCUCAGGGUUGUGAGUUUGAGACCCACGCUGGGUA
rnacentral:tRNA from 1 species